rnacentral:rRNA from 1 species
AUUGAACGCUGGCGGCAUGCUUUACACAUGCAAGUCGAACGGUAACAGGCCGCAAGGUGCUGACGAGUGGCGAACGGGUGAGUAAUGCAUCGGAACGUGCCCAGUCGUGGGGGAUAACUACUCGAAAGAGUAGCUAAUACCGCAUACGAUCUAUGGAUGAAAGCGGGGGACCGUAGGCCUCGCGCGAUUGGAGCGGCCGAUGUCAGAUUAGGUAGUUGGUGGGGUAAAGGCUCACCAAGCCAACGAUCUGUAGCUGGUCUGAGAGGACGACCAGCCACACUGGGACUGAGACACGGCCCAGACUCCUACGGGAGGCAGCAGUGGGGAAUUUUGGACAAUGGGCGCAAGCCUGAUCCAGCAAUGCCGCGUGCAGGAAGAAGGCCUUCGGGUUGUAAACUGCUUUUGUACGGAACGAAACGGCUCUGGUUAAUACCCGGGGCUAAUGACGGUACCGUAAGAAUAAGCACCGGCUAACUACGUG